AACGUAGGACACAAGCGUUAUCCGGAGUUACUGGGCGUAAAGGGCGUGCAGGCGGUUUCUUAAGUCAGGCGUGAAACCAUUCGGCUAAACCGGGUGUAGACGUCUGAGACUGGGAGACUAGAGUGUGGUAGAGGCGUGUAGAAUUCCGGGUGUAGUGGUGAAAUGCGUAGAUAUCCGGAGGAACACCAGUGGCGAAAGCGGCCACCUGGACUGUACCUGACGCUCAAACACGAAAGCUAGGGGAGCGAACGGG
rnacentral:rRNA from 1 species